GUUGGACAGAUAGAGGUCUUUCUUCCCUGAGAUGUUGGACAGAUCAGCUUUGGCCUUGUCCACAGCUUCAGUCAGACCCAGAUCAGCGAGAUGUUUCUGCAAGAAAGCAAGCCGUUACAUUAGUAACUGAAUUCACAGGGAUUCUACGUGGUACGGCAUGAUGAACACCACAGACGACAUCUUAUGGGCCAGUGCCAUGUCCAGCAAUAAAAGGUUGUUGGUUGUGUCAUCAAAAAAGCCAUAUAUGCCUGAAAGACAGCAUGAACAUAUGAUGUAAAUGUGUAAAGGCAAAUGAUGGAAGCCUAAACUUUCGUGUCAAAGCAAACAGCAGUUUUGGAUGUAAGUGAUUGUAGGAAUCACAUCUGCUUUAACCAUGGCCUCACCUGUGCGAUGCAUCAUGGGUACAGAGACGGUGUAGGAGCGAUGCACUAAGAAACCACGAUUAUCCACCAUCUUAUGAUGGAACUGCUCAUCCCAGUGUGCUGGAGAGA